GCCGCCCGCGGGCCGGGUCACGUGAGAGGCGCGCGCUCCUUCACUUUCAGGCAGCUGCCGCGCGCACGCGUCGGGCACGAGCGCCCGCAGUCCCAGCGCUUCAGGUGAUCAGACAGCCCUGAACUUCACAUAUGCUGAUCUUCAGUGAGCAAUCAAUUCUGGAGGAUGAAUACAUUCAUUCACAAAAAAGUGUUGGGACUUCCCUUGUGGUCCAGUGGCUGAGGUUGAUUUAACGUAAAUCAUAGGGCUUCCCUGGUGGCACAGUGGUUAAGAAUCUGCCUGCCAGUGCUGGUCAGGGAAGAUCCCACGUGCUAAGGAGCAACUAAGCCCGUGCACCACAACUACUGAGCCUGCACUCCAGAGCCCUCGAGCCACAACUACUGAGCCUGCGUGCCACAGCUACUGAAGCCCGCAUGCCUAGAGCCAGUGCUCUACAACAAGAGGAGCCACCGCAAUGUGAAGCCCGCGCACCACAACAAAGAGUAGCUCCCGUUCGCCGCAACUAGGGAAAGCCCAUGCCCAGCAAUGAGGACCCAACACGGCCAAAAAUAAAUAAAUAAAAUUAAUAAAAUUAUUUUAAAAAUAAAAUAAAAUAAAG